CCAAGCGUUAGGAGGAGAGAAAAAGAAAAAGAAGAGGGGGGGAGAGAGAAAGAAGGAAGGGUGAGGGACAGGCCUGAGCCUGUCAGCAGCCUGAGGGGAAUGAGCAGCUAUGGUGGCGGCGGCAGCAAGGAAGGGCCCAAUCAACCACUACUGCUGUUAGGGUUACCAAUGGCAGAGAGAGGCAGGCAAGCAAGGGACGGGCCCGGGCCUGUCAGCGGCCUGAGGGGAACAAGCAGCCAUGGCAGUGGUGACCACGAGGAAAGGGCUGGUCAACCUCUGCUGCACCUGUGGGGAGGAGAAGGAGUGGGGCUCGGAUGAGAGUGGGGAGGUCUCUGGAGAUAGGGGGCUGCAGCUUGGCCAAUAGGCACCAGGAAUGCUGCAGCCGCAACCAAGAGGGGUGAAGGGGAUGGAAGCAACGAGAUGGUGGAGAAGGAGAAGGAAUGCGGCUCAGCUGGAAGAAAAUGUAAAAAAACAGAAGCGGUUCUCAUUUAGUAAGGAUAAAGUACCUGUGAAGAAUGUGAAAAACUGCAGCAUACAUUAGGCUCAAAAAUAACAACAGGGAAGAACAAGGAUAUGUUGUCAGUUGCCCAACCUUCUACCAAACACAUUUUCAUGUUUUCACUGCCAAAUCUUCCUGACAAAUACAAAAGAAAAAGAGAAGAAGAAAAGCAAGGUGUGCAGAACGCCAUAGUCAAAAGGAAAAGCCAUAAGAUUCUCUUUGGCUGGGCUUUCAGAGACCUGUUGUAAGCAAAGAAGCUGAAAUAUCUUCAUAGUAUAUCUUUCAUAAUAUCAAAUAUACACUAGCCAUUUUUGACGGUUAUGGUGAAAAGGCAAGAGGAAAAAAUAAAUCAAUCAAAAAGAAACAGGAAUGCAGGAGUCUGCUAUGAACUUGUCCUUUAAUGA